UACAGAGGUCCCAAGCGUUGUUCGGAUUCAUUGGGCGUAAAGGGUGCGUAGGCGGCGCGGUAAGUCGGGUGUGAAAUCUCGGGGCUUAACUCCGAAACUGCAUUCGAUACUGCCGUGCUUGAGGACUGGAGAGGAGACUGGAAUUACGGUGUAGCGGUGAAAUGCGUAGAUAUCGUAAGGAAGACCAGUGGCGAAGGCGGGUCUCUGGACAGUUCCUGACGCUGAGGCACGAAGGUCAGGGGAGCAAACGGG
rnacentral:rRNA from 1 species